rnacentral:rRNA from 1 species
GGGACCUUCCGGCCUUGCGCUAUCAAAUGAACCUAGGUCGGAUUAACUAGUUGGUGGGGUAAUGGCUCACCAAGGCGACGAUCCGUAACUGGUCUGAGAGGAUGAUCAGUCACACUGGAACUGAGACACGGUCCACACUCCUACGGGAGGCAGCAGUGGGGAAUAUUGGACAAUGGGCGAAAGCCUGAUCCAGCCAUGCCGCGUGUGUGAAGAAGGUCUUCGGAUUGUAAAGCACUUUAAGUUGGGAGGAAGGGUUGUAGAUUAUUACUCUGCAAUUUUGACGUUACCGACAAAAUAAGCACCGGCUAACUCUGUGCCACCAGCCGCGGUAAUACAGAGGGUGCAAGCGUUAAUCUGAAUUACUGGGCGUAAAGCGCGCGUAGGUGGUUUGUUAAUUUGGAUGUGAAAAUCCCCCGGGCUCAACCUGGGAACUGCAUUUCAAAACUGACUGACUAGAGUAUGGUAGAGGGUGGUGGAAUUUCCUGUGUAGCGGUGAAAUGC